rnacentral:rRNA from 1 species
CGAGGGGCAGCGGGAAGGUUAGCUUGCUAACCUUUGCUGGCGACCGGCGCACGGGUGAGUAACACGUAUGCAACCUGUCCGGUACAGGGGGAUAAGCGGCGGAAACGCCGUCUAAUACCGCGUGACAACCCGAGGGGGCAUCCCCUUGGGUUCAAAGGAGAGAUCCGGUACCGGCUGGGCAUGCGGCGCAUUAGCUAGUUGGCGGGGCAACGGCCCACCAAGGCGACGAUGCGUAGGGGUUCUGAGAGGAAGGUCCCCCACACUGGAACUGAGACACGGUCCAGACUCCUACGGGAGGCAGCAGUGAGGAAUAUUGGUCAAUGGGCGCAAGCCUGAACCAGCCAAGUCGCGUGAGGGAAGACGGCCCUACGGGUUGUAAACCUCUUUUGCCGGGGAGCAAGCCUGAGCACGUGUGCCCAGGCGGAGAGUACCCGGAGAAAAAGCAUCGGCUAACUCCGUGCCAGCAGCCGCGGUAAUACGGAGGAUGCGAGCGUUAUCCGGAUUUAUUGGGUUUAAAGGGUGCGCAGGCGGGCUGUUAAGCCGGCGGUAAAAAUUCAGGGCUCAACCCUGUCGAGCCGUCGGAACUGGCAGUCUUGAGUGGGCGAGAAGUAUGCGGAAUGCGUGGUGUAGCGGUGAAAUGCAUAGA